rnacentral:rRNA from 1 species
AUUGAACGCUGGCGGCAGGCCUAACACAUGCAAGUCGAGCGGCAGCGGGAAAGUAGCUUGCUACUUUUGCCGGCGAGCGGCGGACGGGUGAGUAAUGCCUGGGGAUCUGCCCACUCGAGGGGGAUAACUACUGGAAACGGUAGCUAAUACCGCAUACGCCCUACGGGGGAAAGCAGGGGACCUUCGGGCCUUGCGCGAUUGGAUGAACCCAGGUGGGAUUAGCUAGUUGGUGAGGUAACGGCUCACCAAGGCGACGAUCCCUAGCUGGUCUGAGAGGAUGAUCAGCCACACUGGAACUGAGACACGGUCCAGACUCCUACGGGAGGCAGAAGUGGGGAAUAUUGCACAAUGGGGGAAACCCUGAUGCAGCCAUGCCGCGUGUGUGAAGAAGGCCUUCGGGUUGUAAAGCACUUUCAGCGAGGAGGAAAGGUUGGUAGCUAAUAACUGCCAGCUGUGACGUUACUCGCAGAAGAAGCACCGGCUAACUCCGUGCCAGCCGCCGCCGUAAAAC